UUAAGCGACUAAGCGUACACGGUGGAUGCCCUGGCAGUCAGAGGCGAUGAAGGACGUGCUAAUCUGCGAAAAGCGCCGGCGAGGUGAUAUGAACCUUUGACCCGGCGAUGUCCGAAUGGGGAAACCCAGUGCAAUUCGUUGCACUAUCGUUAACUGAAUACAUAGGUUAACGAGGCGAACCGGGGGAACUGAAACAUCUAAGUACCCCGAGGAAAAGAAAUCAACCGAGAUUCCCCCAGUAGCGGCGAGCGAACGGGGAGCAGCCCAGAGUCUGAAUCAGCUUGUGUGUUAGUGGAACGGUCUGGAAAGUCCGACGGUACAGGGUGAUAGUCCCGUACACGAAAAUGCACAGGCUGUGAACUCGAAGAGUAGGGCGGGACACGUGGUAUCCUGUCUGAAUAUGGGGGGACCAUCCUCCAAGGCUAAAUACUCCUGACUGACCGAUAGUGAACCAGUACCGUGAGGGAAAGGCGAAAAGAACCCCGGCGAGGGGAGUGAAAAAGAACCUGAAACCGUGUACGUACAAGCAGUGGGAGCACCCUUCGGGGUGUGACUGCGUACCUUUUGUAUAAUGGGUCAGCGACUUAUAUUCUGUAGCAAGGUUAACCGAAUAGGGGAGCCGAAGGGAAACCGAGUCUUAACUGGGCGUUAAGUUGCAGGGUAUAGACCCGAAACCCGGUGAUCUAGCCAUGGGCAGGUUGAAGGUUGGGUAACACUAACUGGAGGACCGAACCGACUAAUGUUGAAAAAUUAGCGGAUGACUUGUGGCUGGGGGUGAAAGGCCAAUCAAACCGGGAGAUAGCUGGUUCUCCCCGAAAGCUAUUUAGGUAGCGCCUCGUGAACUCAUCUUCGGGGGUAGAGCACUGUUUCGGCUAGGGGGUCAUCCCGACUUACCAACCCGAUGCAAACUGCGAAUACCGAAGAAUGUUAUCACGGGAGACACACGGCGGGUGCUAACGUCCGUCGUGAAGAGGGAAACAACCCAGACCGCCAGCUAAGGUCCCAAAGUCAUGGUUAAGUGGGAAACGAUGUGGGAAGGCACAGACAGCCAGGAUGUUGGCUUAGAAGCAGCCAUCAUUUAAAGAAAGCGUAAUAGCUCACUGGUCGAGUCGGCCUGCGCGGAAGAUGUAACGGGGCUAAACCAUGCACCGAAGCUGCGGCAGCGACACUAUGUGUUGUUGGGUAGGGGAGCGUUCUGUAAGCCUGUGAAGGUGGCCUGUGAGGGUUGCUGGAGGUAUCAGAAGUGCGAAUGCUGACAUAAGUAACGAUAAAGCGGGUGAAAAGCCCGCUCGCCGGAAGACCAAGGGUUCCUGUCCAACGUUAAUCGGGGCAGGGUGAGUCGACCCCUAAGGCGAGGCCGAAAGGCGUAGUCGAUGGGAAACAGGUUAAUAUUCCUGUACUUGGUGUUACUGCGAAGGGGGGACGGAGAAGGCUAUGUUAGCCGGGCGACGGUUGUCCCGGUUUAAGCAUGUAGGCGGAGGUUCCAGGUAAAUCCGGUACCUUUUAACGCUGAGGUGUGAUGACGAGGCACUACGGUGCUGAAGUAACAAAUGCCCUGCUUCCAGGAAAAGCCUCUAAGCAUCAGGUAACACGAAAUCGUACCCCAAACCGACACAGGUGGUCAGGUAGAGAAUACCAAGGCGCUUGAGAGAACUCGGGUGAAGGAACUAGGCAAAAUGGUGCCGUAACUUCGGGAGAAGGCACGCUGACAUGUAGGUGAAGCCCCUGCGGGUGGAGCUGAAGUCAGUCGAAGAUACCAGCUGGCUGCAACUGUUUAUUAAAAACACAGCACUGUGCAAACACGAAAGUGGACGUAUACGGUGUGACGCCUGCCCGGUGCCGGAAGGUUAAUUGAUGGGGUUAUCCGUAAGGAGAAGCUCUUGAUCGAAGCCCCGGUAAACGGCGGCCGUAACUAUAACGGUCCUAAGGUAGCGAAAUUCCUUGUCGGGUAAGUUCCGACCUGCACGAAUGGCGUAAUGAUGGCCAGGCUGUCUCCACCCGAGACUCAGUGAAAUUGAACUCGCUGUGAAGAUGCAGUGUACCCGCGGCAAGACGGAAAGACCCCGUGAACCUUUACUAUAGCUUGACACUGAACAUUGAGCCUUGAUGUGUAGGAUAGGUGGGAGGCUUUGAAGCGUGGACGCCAGUCUGCGUGGAGCCAACCUUGAAAUACCACCCUUUAAUGUUUGAUGUUCUAACUCGGCCCCAUAAUCUGGGGUGAGGACAGUGUCUGGUGGGUAGUUUGACUGGGGCGGUCUCCUCCCAAAGCGUAACGGAGGAGCACGAAGGUUAGCUAAUCCUGGUCGGACAUCAGGAGGUUAGUGCAAUGGCAUAAGCCAGCUUGACUGCGAGCGUGACGGCGCGAGCAGGUGCGAAAGCAGGUCAUAGUGAUCCGGUGGUUCUGAAUGGAAGGGCCAUCGCUCAACGGAUAAAAGGUACUCCGGGGAUAACAGGCUGAUACCGCCCAAGAGUUCAUAUCGACGGCGGUGUUUGGCACCUCGAUGUCGGCUCAUCACAUCCUGGGGCUGAAGUAGGUCCCAAGGGUAUGGCUGUUCGCCAUUUAAAGUGGUACGCGAGCUGGGUUUAGAACGUCGUGAGACAGUUCGGUCCCUAUCUGCCGUGGGCGCUGGAGAAUUGAGGGGGGCUGCUCCUAGUACGAGAGGACCGGAGUGGACGCAUCACUGGUGUUCGGGUUGUCAUGCCAAUGGCACUGCCCGGUAGCUAAAUGCGGAAGAGAUAAGUGCUGAAAGCAUCUAAGCACGAAACUUGCCCCGAGAUGAGUUCUCCCUGAGACUUAGAGUCUCCUGAAGGAACGUUGAAGACGACGACGUUGAUAGGCCGGGUGUGUAAGCGCAGCGAUGCGUUGAGCUAACCGGUACUAAUGAACCGUGAGGCUUAACCUU
rnacentral:rRNA from 1 species